rnacentral:rRNA from 1 species
GAUGAACGCUGGCGGCGUGCCUAAUACAUGCGAGUCGAGCGAACAGACGAGGAGCUUGCUCCUCUGACGUUAGCGGCGGACGGGUGAGUAACACGUGGAUAACCUACCUAUAAGACUGGGAUAACUUCGGGAAACCGGAGCUAAUACCGGAUAAUAUAUUGAACCGCAUGGUUCAAUAGUGAAAGACGGUUUUGCUGUCACUUAUAGAUGGAUCCGCGCCGCAUUAGCUAGUUGGUAAGGUAACGGCUUACCAGGCAACGAUGCGUAGCCGACCUGAGAGGGUGAUCGGCCACACUGGAACUGAGACACGGUCCAGACUCCUACGGGAGGCAGCAGUAGGGAAUCUUCCGCAAUGGGCGAAAGCCUGACGGAGCAACGCCGCGUGAGUGAUGAAGGUCUUCGGAUCGUAAAACUCUGUUAUUAGGGAAGAACAAAUGUGUAAGUAACUAUGCACGUCUUGACGGUACCUAAUCAGAAAGCCACGGCUAACUACGUG